AAGUCGUAACAAGGUUUCCGUAGGUGAACCUGCGGAAGGAUCAUUAACGAGUAAACAGGGGAGUUGUAGCUGGCCGCAAGGCAUGUGCACGCUCUCUACUCAAUCCAACUUUACACCUGUGCACCUAUUGUAGGUCGAGUGGCUGGACUUGUUCUGGUCGCUCUUCCUAUGUUUUACACAUACACUUGUAGUCUCAGAAUGUAAUCCGCGUAUAACGCAUUAUAAAACAA
rnacentral:misc_RNA from 1 species